UGAACGCUGGCGGCGUGCUUAACACAUGCAAGUCGCACGAGAACACUUCAGCUUGCUGAAGCUAGUAAAGUGGCGCACGGGUGAGUAACGCGUGGGUAAUCUACCUCCGAAUUGGGGAUAACAUUGCGAAAGCGAUGCUAAUACCGGAUAAUAUCUCUUAAACUUCGGUUAAAGAGAUCAAAGGUGGCCUCUCCUUGGAAGCUACUGUUUGGGGAUGAGCCCGCGUACCAUUAGCUUGUUGGUAGGGUAAAAGCCUACCAAGGCAACGAUGGUUAGCUGGUCUGAGAGGAUGAUCAGCCACACUGGAACUGACACACGGUCCAGACUCCUACGGGAGGCAGCAGUGAGGAAUUUUGCGCAAUAGGGGAAACCCUGACGCAGCAACGCCGCGUGAGUGAUGAAGGCUUUCGGGUCGUAAAGCUCUGUCAAGUGGGAAGAACCUGUAUGGUGCUAAUAUCAGCAUACACUGACGGUACCACUGAAGGAAGCACCGGCUAACUCC
rnacentral:rRNA from 1 species